rnacentral:rRNA from 1 species
GACGUAGGGCGCGAGCGUUGUCCGGAUUUAUUGGGCGUAAAGAGCUCGUAGGCGGUUUGUCGCGUCGUCCGUGAAAACUCACAGCUUAACUGUGAGCUUGCGGUCGAUACGGGCAGGCUAGAGUUCGGUAGGGGGAGACUGGAAUUCCUGGUGUAGCGGUGAAAUGCGCAGAUAUCAGGAGGAACACCGGUGGCGAAGGCGGGUCUCUGGGCCGAUACUGACGCUGGAGGAACGAAAGCUAGGGGAGCAAACAGG